CCUCUUCUUCGUUAUCAACAAGAACCUGUUACGGCGGCGCACAACCAGAAUCUUCUCCUGCCUUUCUCCAUUCAAUUAACCAUCUUCUUCACUAUCAACACCACCACCUCCACUAUUAUCUUCAGUACCACCACCGUCACCAAUGGGUUAUAAAUGGAAUAUGGGUUUUGUGUCUCGUAUACCAUGGAAGGACGGAGGAGGGAAAAUGGUUGAAAUAAGGUUUCUAUAAUGUCAGGUGAGAUUGUCAUUCAGAUAAUUUCUUCUGGUUUAGGUUUGCCUUAGAAGAUUGGGGUUGGUUAAAUCUGAGGAUGUGCAAGAGGUUAUGACCGACUGAUCUGGACCUAACAGGAGAUGCAUAAAAACAUAGAAUGCUAAAGCUUCAGAAUACUUUACACACGAGUCUUCCUAGAUUUGGUAUGCACAGAGAAAGCAAGUGAUAUAAUUGGAUCAAAUUUUAGUUGAAAAGGCUUAGUGAUAGUGCUUGUGAUGCUCAUCACAUAAUGGAUGAAUUCUCUUACGGAACUCCUUGAGAUCAAGUUAUAAUUGAAAAAGCUUAAAGGCAGUGCAUGCAAUGUUGAUGACAUUAUGGAUGAGUUCUCCUAUGAAACCUCUUGCGAUUAGACCUGUAUAAACAGCUUAAGAACUUGAAGUCCUGAAGUAUAUGUGAUCUUGCGACUCUUGCCGCAUCUUGCAAUUUCGUUUCAAGCUAGCAAAAGGAUUUGUAGAUAACAUAAAACUGGAGGUUUCAACAGUAACAUAGUUUUCUGAUUUCUAUAAUGGCUUCUCCUCUCAUCAGUGAAUGACAGAUAAAAAGAAUGACCAUAUGAAAUCCCUACUCCAAUUAUAGGAGUCCAGUUCGUCACGGUGAGGGCUCAAAUCCUUGGUGAAGGGUCUUGUAUCGAAGAGCUCAGUUUAUGAAGACCUAACUGCCUUUACAAAGUUGGAUCUUUGUUAAUUUGUCAGUCUUGUCAGAAUUCACUGGUUGGAAUUUUUUGAGGCCGCUGAUUCCGUUGAAGAAGUCAGUUAUUUGCAUAACCAUUUGCUGUUUAAAGCAUGUUUUCUAUCAGGCCUAUUUUCAGUAUUUAAAGAAUAAACACUGUAAUAUUGUUCUGCAUACGAGGGGCACAAUUUCUAGAUUUCUUUUUCUAUAGCUUUUCAGAGUUGUUAGAGGCACUGAUCUGAUAGUACUGUUGUUCAAUCUUCCCCUUGAAUGACUUUAAAUUAAGCAACACUGUUGUAAUUUACUGUAUUACGAUUAGGCUUUCUAAUCAAUGUCUACCUGCGGGUUUUAGUUUU